CCUACGGGAGACAGCAGUGAGGAAUAUUGGUCAAUGGACGAGAGUCUGAACCAGCCAAGUAGCGUGAAGGAUGAAUGCCCUAUGGGUUGUAAACUUCUUUUAUAUGGGAAUAAAACGUUCCCCGUGUGGGAUUUUGUAUGUACCAUAUGAAUAAGGAUCGGCUAACUCCGUGCCAGCAGCCGCGGUAAUACGGAGGAUCCGAGCGUUAUCCGGAUUUAUUGGGUUUAAAGGGAGCGUAGGUGGAUUGUUAAGUCAGUUGUGAAAGUUUGCGGCUCAACCGUAAAAUUGCAGUUGAAACUGGCAGUCUUGAGUACAGUAGAGGUGGGCGGAAUUCGUGGUGUAGCGGUGAAAUGCUUAGAUAUCACGAAGAACUCCGAUUGCGAAGGCAGUUCACUGGACUGCAACUGACACUGAGGCUCGAAAGUGUGGGUAUCAAACAGGAUUAGAUACCCGGGUAGUC
rnacentral:rRNA from 1 species